GAUGAACGCUGGCGGCGUGCCUAAUACAUGCAAGUCGAGCGAACAGAUAAGGAGCUUGCUCCUUUGACGUUAGCGGCGGACGGGUGAGUAACACGUGGGUAACCUACCUAUAAGACUGGAAUAACUCCGGGAAACCGGGGCUAAUGCCGGAUAACAUUUAGAACCGCAUGGUUCUAAAGUGAAAGAUGGUUUUGCUAUCACUUAUAGAUGGACCCGCGCCGCAUUAGCUAGUUGGUAAGGUAACGGCUUACCAAGGCAACGAUACGUAGCCGACCUGAGAGGGUGAUCGGCCACACUGGAACUGAGACACGGUCCAGACUCCUACGGGAGGCAGCAGUAGGGAAUCUUCCGCAAUGGGCGAAAGCCUGACGGAGCAACGCCGCGUGAGUGAUGAAGGUCUUCGGAUCGUAAAACUCUGUUAUUAGGGAAGAACAAAUGUGUAAGUAACUAUGCACGUCUUGACGGUACCUAAUCAGAAAGCCACGGCUAACUACGUG
rnacentral:rRNA from 1 species